rnacentral:rRNA from 1 species
UAGGGAAUCUUCGGCAAUGGACGAAAGUCUGACCGAGCAACGCCGCGUGAGUGAAGAAGGUUUUCGGAUCGUAAAACUCUGUUGUUAGAGAAGAACAAGGACGUUAGUAACUGAACGUCCCCUGACGGUAUCUAACCAGAAAGCCACGGCUAACUACGUGCCAGCAGCCGCGGUAAUACGUAGGUGGCAAGCGUUGUCCGGAUUUAUUGGGCGUAAAGCGAGCGCAGGCGGUUUCUUAAGUCUGAUGUGAAAGCCCCCGGCUCAACCGGGGAGGGUCAUUGGAAACUGGGAGACUUGAGUGCAGAAGAGGAGAGUGGAAUUCCAUGUGUAGCGGUGAAAUGCGUAGAUAUAUGGAGGAACACCAGUGGCGAAGGCGGCUCUCUGGUCUGUAACUGACGCCGAGGCUCGAAAGCGUGGGGAGCAAACAGG